ACACGGAGGGCGCAAGCGUUGCUCGGAAUCACUGGGCGUAAAGCGGGUGUAGGCGGUCUAGCAAGUCAGAUGUGAAAGCCCACGGCUCAACCGUGGAAGUGCAUCUGAAACUGCUAGACUUGAGUGCCGGAGAGGGAAGUGGAAUUCCUGGUGUAGGGGUGAAAUCCGUAGAUAUCAGGAGGAACACCGGUGGCGAAGGCGACUUCCUGGACGGCCACUGACGCUGAGACCCGAAAGCGUGGGGAGCAAACAAGAUUAGAAACCCUAGUAGUCC
rnacentral:rRNA from 1 species